CCGAGUGUUAUGGGGUGUAUUGAUGGUACCCAUAUAAAAUUGUGGGACCAAAACACAAUAAGCACUCAUUUUAUAAUCGAAAAGGAUACUUUAGUUUAAAUGCUCUUGUUGUUUGUGACCAAAAAAUGAGGUUUCGAUUUAUUGAUGCGUCGCAUCCAGGAGCUUGUCACGACUCUUUAGUGUGGAACGUUUCGGAACUAAAGAGACAUAUUUGCAAUAAUCGCAGCAACUUUUGGAUGUUAGGCGACGCAGGAUAUCCUCUGGAAUCCUUCUUAUUAACACCUUAUAGGACACCUGAAGAGGGAAGUGUAGAAGCAAAAUUUAAUUUAGCUCAUUCUCGGUGCCGAAAUAUUAUAGAACGUGCAAUUGGGUUGCUUAAAAGCCGAUGGAGAUGUUUGCUUGGUGCUAGAGAACUUUAUUACAGCCCACAGAAAGCAGCUAAAAUAUUCAAUGUGUGCGUAAUGUUACAUAAUUUAUGCAUUCAUUUCAAAGAUCAAUUUGCUGAUAUCGUUGAGAUACCUGAUUGUGACGAAGAGGAAUCUCUAGUGACUAUGGAGGAGGACAACAUAGAUUUCGGAAUGCAAAGAAUGAGCGAAGCGCAAAGAAUUAGGAACCAAAUAGCUCACUCACUCCCUUAAAGCAUUAUUACUUCU